GGGGGAUAUUGCACAAUGGAGGAAACUCUGAUGCAGCAACGCCGCGUGAGGGAAGAAGGUCUUCGGAUUGUAAACCUUUGUCCUUGGUGACGAAACAAAUGACGGUUGCCAAGGAGGAAGCUCCGGCUAACUACGUGCCAGCAGCCGCGGUAAUACGUAGGGAGCAAGCGUUGUCCGGAUUUACUGGGUGUAAAGGGUGCGUAGGCGGCUCUGCAAGUCAGGCGUGAAAACUAUGGGCUUAACCCAUAGACUGCGUUUGAAACUGUGGGGCUUGAGUGAAGUAGAGGUAGGCGGAAUUCCUAGUGUAGCGGUGAGAUGCGUAGUGAUCGGGAGGAACACCAGUGGCGAAGGCGGCCUACUGGGCUUUAACUGACGCUGAAGCACGAAAGCAUGGGUAGCAAAC
rnacentral:rRNA from 1 species